GAUGAACGCUAGCUACAGGCUUAACACAUGCAAGUCGAGGGGCAGCAUGAACUUAGCUUGCUAAGUUUGAUGGCGACCGGCGCACGGGUGAGUAACACGUAUCCAACCUGCCGAUGACUCGGGGAUAGCCUUUCGAAAGAAAGAUUAAUACCCGAUGGCAUAGUUCUUCCGCAUGGUAGAACUAUUAAAGAAUUUCGGUCAUCGAUGGGGAUGCGUUCCAUUAGGUUGUUGGCGGGGUAACGGCCCACCAAGCCUUCGAUGGAUAGGGGUUCUGCGAGGAAGGUCCCCCACAUUGGAACUGAGACACGGGCCAAACUCCUACGGGAGGCAGCAGUGAGGAAUAUUGGUCAAUGGACGAGAGUCUGAACCAGCCAAGUAGCGUGAAGGAUGACUGCCCUAUGGGUUGUAAACUUCUUUUAUACGGGAAUAAAGUGAGGAACGUGUGCCUUUUUGUAUGUACCGUAUGAAUAAGGAUCGGCUAACUCCGUG
rnacentral:rRNA from 1 species